ACAGUGGACGCGAGCAUCUUUGAUCUUUUGUGGUCAAGUUUUUAAGAGCAUUCGGUGGAUGCCUUGGCACCAGGAGCCGAAGAAGGACGUUGUAGCCUGCGAUAAGCCUCGGGGAGCUGGCAAACGAGCUGUGAUCCGAGGGUGUCCGAAUGGGGAAACCCGGCCGCAGUCAUGUGCGGCUACCCGCGCCUGAAUAUAUAGGGCGUGUGGGGGGAACGUGGGGAAGUGAAACAUCUCAGUACCCACAGGAAGAGAUAUUCCGUGAGUAGUGGCGAGCGAAAGCGGAUGAGGCUAAACCGGGGGUGUGUGAUAGCCGGCGGGCGUUGCACCUUCGGGGUCGUGGGACCCACUGGCCAGUUCUGCCGGACUGGCGGGGAGUGAGAAAGCCUGGGUGUAGUCGAACGGUCUGGGAAGGCCGGGCGUAGUGGGUGAGACCCCCGUAGACGAAACAUCUAGGCCUCCUUGUGGGGAUCCCGAGUAGCACGGGGCCCGUGAAAUCCCGUGUGAAUCUGCCCAGACCACUGGGUAAGCCUAAAUACUCCCUGGUGACCGAUAGCGGACUAGUACCGUGAGGGAAAGGUGAAAAGUACCCCGGGAGGGGAGUGAAAUAGUACCUGAAACCGGAUGCUUACAAUCCGUCGGAGCCUCUCUAAUGGGGGUGACGGCGUGCCUUUUGAAGAAUGAGCCUGCGAGUUAGUGGUGCGUGGCGAGGUUAACCCGGGUGGGGAAGCCGUAGCGAAAGCGAGUCCGAACAGGGCGAUACUUAACCCGGGUGGGGAAGCCGUAGCGAAAGCGAGUCCGAACAGGGCGAUUUUAGUCGCGUGCUCUAGACCCGAAGCGAAGUGAUCUACCCAUGGGCAGGUUGAAGCACGUGUAAGAGCGUGUGGAGGACCGAACCCACUUAGGUUGAAAACUGAGGGGAUGACCUGUGGGUAGGGGUGAAAGGCCAAUCAAACUUCGUGAUAGCUGGUUCUCCCCGAAAUGCAUUUAGGUGCAGCGUCGCGUGUUUCUUGCCGGAGGUAGAGCUACUGGAUGGCCGAUGGGCCCUACAAGGUUACUGACGUCAACCAAACUCCGAAUGCCGGUAAGUGAAGCGUGGCAGUGAGACGGCGGGGGAUAAGCUUCGUCGUCGAGAGGGAAACAGCCCAGACCACCGGCUAAGGCCCCUAAGCGUGUGCUAAGUGGGAAAGGAUGUGGAGUUGCACAGACAACCAGGAGGUUGGCUUAGAAGCAGCCAUCCUUGAAAGAGUGCGUAAUAGCUCACUGGUCAAGUGAUUCUGCGCCGACAAUGUAGCGGGGCUCAAGCACACCGCCGAAGCCGUGGCACCAGCGCAGACCCCAGCACCGACUCGAUCGGUGUUCAGGGGCGUUGGUGGGUAGGGGAGCGUCGUGUGGGAGGCGAAGCGCCGGGGUGACCCAGGCG
rnacentral:rRNA from 1 species